UAAGGAAUAUUGGUCAAUGGACGCAAGUCUGAACCAGCCAUGCCGCGUGAAGGAUGAAGGUCCUCUGGAUUGUAAACUUCUUUUAUCUGGGACGAAAACGGGAUUUUUAUCUCAAUUGACGGUACCAGAGGAAUAAGCACCGGCUAACUCCGUGCCAGCAGCCGCGGUAAUACGGAGGGUGCGAGCGUUAUCCGGAUUUACUGGGUUUACAGGGUGCGUAGGUGGGCUUAUAAGUCAGUGGUGAAAUCUCCGAGCUUAACUUGGAAACUGCCGUUGAUACUAUAGGUCUUGAAUUAUCUGGAGGUAAGCGGAAUAUGUCAUGUAGCGGUGAAAUGCUUAGAUAUGACAUAGAACACCAAUUGCGAAGGCAGCUUACUACAUAUAAAUUGACGCUGAGGCACGAAAGCGUGGGGAUCAAACA
rnacentral:rRNA from 1 species